rnacentral:rRNA from 1 species
AGAGUUUGAUCCUGGCUCAGAUUGAACGCUGGCGGCAGGCCUAACACAUGCAAGUCGAGCGGUAGAGAGAAGCUUGCUUCUCUUGAGAGCGGCGGACGGGUGAGUAAUGCCUAGGAAUCUGCCUGGUAGUGGGGGAUAACGUUCGGAAACGGACGCUAAUACCGCAUACGUCCUACGGGAGAAAGCAGGGGACCUUCGGGCCUUGCGCUAUCAGAUGAGCCUAGGUCGGAUUAGCUAGUUGGUGGGGUAAUGGCUCACCAAGGCGACGAUCCGUAACUGGUCUGAGAGGAUGAUCAGUCACACUGGAACUGAGACACGGUCCAGACUCCUACGGGAGGCAGCAGUGGGGAAUAUUGGACAAUGGGCGAAAGCCUGAUCCAGCCAUGCCGCGUGUGUGAAGAAGGUCUUCGGAUUGUAAAGCACUUUAAGUUGGGAGGAAGGGCAGUAAAUUAAUACUUUGCUGUUUUGACGUUACCGACAGAAUAAGCACCGGCUAACUCUGUGCCAGCAGCCGCGGUAAUACAGAGGGUGCAAGCGUUAAUCGGAAUUACUGGGCGUAAAGCGCGCGUAGGUGGUUAGUUAAGUUGGNAUGUGAAAUCCCCGGGCUCAACCUGGGAACUGCAUUCAAAACUGACUGACUAGAGU